AAAAAAGUAGCUAGUCUAAGUGAUCUUGAAACAAUUUAUCCAAGUAGUAAUUACAGGGCAAAAUAUAUACCGUGGGGGCCCCGGCGCAUCUGCACCACAACUGAGUAGGGAUCGACCGAUAGGGAUUUAUUUUUUUAGAGGCGACACCGAUAAUCUGUGAACUUUCAGGCCGAUAGCCAAUAACUUACAGAUAUUCUGUACAUUUACCAUUUAAAAAAAAAUAAACAACACAGACCUGGAAACCAUACACAAAUGAAAAUGGUAAUAUAAAAGAAAAAUUUAAGAAAACACUUUCACUGACAGGUAACUGAAUGCAGCAUAUGCCCCUCUUAUAAUAUAGUAAAGUGCUACGGAAUCUGUUGGUGCUAUAUAAAUGGCAAUAAUAAUAUUAUUAGUCCUAACAUACAAAUAUAAUGGAAUUAAUGCUCAGAGUGUCAG